ensembl:lincRNA
GGAGAAGGCUGCUCUGCAGAUGGCGGUGGAGGAGCUGAGAGGAAAGGCAGACGCUGCAGAUGUGGAGAAGCAGGGGCUGGAGGCAGAGGCCACGGAGCUACAGAGAAGCCUCCUGCUGCAGGCAGAGCGGAGGGAGAAGCUGGCUCUGCAGAGGGAGCGGAGCUGCAGGGCACUGGAGACCAGGUGCACAGCGGUGGCUGGGUAGACAGGGCCCCUCCUACAGGAGAGACCCCACUCUGCCACCAUCAGCCACUUGGCCCUGGGCCACGGGUCUGCUUCUUUACCUGUCUCAUCUCAGGGUGUGGUGGCGGCCCUAACAGGGCAGGGGCGGGGACUCUCCAGGCUCCUCCCCAGGCUGCACCAUCCUCCAGACCAAUCCUCACUCCCUCUGGCCCAGUGCCCCACUUGGGUGCACAUCUACCACCCUGUGGGCCCAGCAGAUGUGGAGCCCCAUCCGUCCUGUCCCCCUGGAGGCACCUGUGCCUCCCCUGACCCAGAAACGAAGCCCGGAAGCAAAGGGUUCCCUGCCUUCCUGGUCCUCCAGGGACUCCAUGCUCCUCCUGGGCCUCCCUGGGCUUGGAGGGAGUUGCAGGCGGUUGCCUGCCUGAAAUCCCAUGGGGCAGCCGCUGCUAACCCUGAGGGACCUCCCGCCCUCUGGUCUGCGGCCUUAGUCAAGGCCGCCUGCAGCAGCUGGAGGAGAAGGUCUCUGGCCUCAGAGAGGAGCUGGCAUCAGCCCGGGAGGCACUGAGCACAGCACAGCUGCAGCGGGAUGUCGUGGAGAGCGAGAGGGAGGGCUUGCGCAGCGCCCUGGCGCGGGCCGAGUGCAGCAAUGCGGACCUGGAGCUUCUUGUGAGGCGGCUGAAGUCAGAGGGAGUGGAGCAAAGGGACUCCCUGGCUGCAAUGGCCGCCUUGAUGGAGGCGCUGGCUCAGGACAAAAGUGACCUGAACCACCUGACCCUCCAGCUGGAGCAGGAGCAGGACCAGCUGCGGGAGCAGCAGAAGACUCUGGAGCAGGAGCAGGUCCAGGCCAGGGAGCAGCUGGCACAGGCGGAACAGCAGCUGGUGCUGGAGCGGGCAGAGCGCAGGGGCCUGCAGCAGGCCUGUGGACGCCUGGAGCAGCAGCAGGAGCAGCUAGAGGGGCAGGCAGCCCUGCUGGGGCGAGAGAAGGCCCAGCUCCAGGAGCAGGUGGGCCAGGUGAGGACGUCUGCAGGGCAGGCUGCUGCCGUCUGGGAUACGGCUGGGUCGCAGGUCCUGCCUAAGGUACUUCUGGGAGUCAGGCAGGCUCAGGAUACCCAAACCCGCUCUUUCUGUCUGGGUAACGGAUCAAGCCCAGUGCUGGCCUCCCCGUGGGGGUGGGGGCUUCCCGUGGGGUUGGGGGCAGGGCAAGGGUAUGCAGAGAAGAAGAUUUCCAUCAGGCCUGGCCUCUAUAUCCCUCCCGCCACUUGGCGGGGGAGCCCGGGCCUGAGGCCAGUGACUUCUGCACGCUGCGCCCUUAGAGAGCUUUGCUCUUUCCUCCUCUGUCUUGCUUCUCCCUGGUCCACCUCCACACAGCUGAACUCUGCGAUUGCGUAUGCACUGGUGCCUUCGUGCAUUCAUUCCCGAUUUCCCCAUCCUUUGCUGAGGAACCUCAACUCACUGGAGAAAAGAACAGUCUUGGUUUUUUCCAAUCCUGCCUCGUUCAUCCACGCAGAAACCCUGCCCAUACUGGGUUUCAAGCCCCCGUGGCUCAGAUUCCGCAGCCCCUGUUACAUUCAGGACAGUUAAUCCUCCUUCCGUUUUCAGAUUCUGUCUUGUCCUUUUUUGGGGUCAUCUUUUUCCUCUUUUUCUAUUGACAUUUAAUAAGUCAGUGUACAGUGUCAAAGAGUUCUGACCAUUGUACAAACCUGGGUAGCCGCCACCAGGAUCAAGACACAGAACAUUUUUGUCAGCCCAGCAGGUUCUCCCACGUGCCUUCAGCCAUUGCCCAAAGCCCCUGGCUCCCACCCAGGCGGCCUCUGCUCUGAUGUGCAGUGCCACGGACUGGAUGCACCUGUUUUAGAGUUCCUUAUGAAUGGAGCCAUGCAGUACAGAUGCUUUUGUGUCCAGCUUCUGUCUCUCAGCAUCACGUCUGUGAGAUCCAUACAUGUUGUUCAGUGUAUCCCUAAGCCCUUUGUUUUUAACUGCAUAGCUGUAUUCCUUGGGAUGAGUAAACCACACUUGCUUACUCAUCCACUUGUUGCUGGACAUUGGGAUUGUCCACACAAGUCACACAAGACUUGCUGAAUCAGAAACUCUGUGGGGGGUGCCCAGAAAUCUGGAUUUUAAUGAGCCCUCCUUGGGACUCUGCUGCACACUAAAGUGUGAGAACCACAAGUGUAUGGUAUGAUGUAAGAACUAAGGUCCAUUAUUUUUCAUACUAAUACCCAGUUUUCCAGCACCACUUUUAAAACUCUCUCCUUUUGUCCUUGAUUAAGUUUGGCAACUUGUUGAAAAUAAAUUGAUCAUAUAUGUGGGAUUUGUUGAUCUGUGCAAGUCAAUCUAUUCAUUCUUUCACCAGAACCCCACGGUCUUGAUCAUGA